UACAGAGGUCUCAAGCGUUGUUCGGAUUCAUUGGGCGUAAAGGGUGCGUAGGUGGCGAGGCAAGUCAGAUGUGAAAUCCCGGGGCUCAACCCCGGAACUGCAUUUGAAACUGCUUUGCUCGAGUACUGGAGAGGAGACUGGAAUUUACGGUGUAGCAGUGAAAUGCGUAGAUAUCGUAAGGAAGACCAGUGGCGAAGGCGAGUCUCUGGACAGUUACUGACACUGAGGCACGAAGGCCAGGGGAGCAAACGGG
rnacentral:rRNA from 1 species